rnacentral:rRNA from 1 species
UACAGAGGUCUCAAGCGUUGUUCGGAUUCAUUGGGCGUAAAGGGUGCGUAGGUGGCGCUGUAAGUCGGGUGUGAAAUUUCGGAGCUUAACUCCGAAACUGCAUUCGAUACUGCCGUGCUUGAGGACUGGAGAGGAGACUGGAAUUUACGGUGUAGCGGUGAAAUGCGUAGAUAUUGGGAAGAACACCGGUGGCGAAGGCGGCGCUCUGGACCGAGACUGACGCUGAGGCGCGAAAGCGUGGGGAGCAAACAGG